UCUGCACAGUGUUUCCAUAAAUAUGACAACAUCAGUGACUACCCCUUACUUUUAGCUGCAGUAACACACACACACUUCAGUGGAGUGGGCGGAGGUAAGAGGGCUUACACUGAAAUGGAAAUAGCAGGAGGAGGAUAUCACAUGAAACAAACUCCUGGAGCAGGCAAGACUUGUGACAGGAUAAAGAUUAUUUGUUCUGUAGAUAGCAAUCCUAAAACCACGGUUACUUGGUGGGGUGUUAUAGGAGAAAAAGAUAUGUAUUAAAACUCAGUGUUGUACUGUGAUGCACGGAUGUUUUCAGAGUGCUAGUUUUUAAUGCUGGAGAACAGGACACUCUCAGCUCCCCUCUAGAGUUUUAAUGCUAACAGAAAACCUAUUUUUUUUUUCAUAUAAUCUUAGUCUGAGAAAACCCCUUUUUCUUUACUGGUUAUGAAGUAAGAAAAUUUGUAGGCUCCAUGGCACUACCCCUCUCCUCUGUCUCUGGGUUCUCUGUGUGGGUCUGUAGCUGAUGUGGUAACACCUGUCCUAUAUUUCGAGUGUAGAAGGAGGCCUUUUGAGCAAACUAUCAUUUAGAAAAGAGCUAGAGAUUGCAUAGUCCCCUGUGGCUCUGGAAAAAUUUAAUGGCGUUGGAGACUAAUCCCCCCACCAUUGCUCCAUGGAGCAUGGGGAGCAAAUUCCCUUACCUCUGAGGAAGAAGUCAAAUGUUCUCAGGGGGGGAUCUCAGCCAAUUUUUCUCUUUCCCUCCCUCUCAGGUAGAGUUUUCUAUGGGAAUGACUGAGGAUUGACCCUAUGGAAAUUAGAAUUUGAGAAGACCUAUUAUAAAAUUGAUUUUAUUUCCUUGUCACUGUGAAAUUGUUCCCUAUAGCAUGUUCUCUAAUGAUUUAUCCAGGAGUUUCAAAUGUUGUAAGUACCAGUGGUUCUGUAUUUCCCUGGCCUGUCUCACUGACGGAUGGUGCGGAGAUGGGGAUCGCAAGAUACAGCAGAGAUGAAAAGAGAGAUAGCCACAUAAGAUAAAGAUGAAAUUUCUUUUUUACUGUAGGAGCAAACUGCUUGGGAGGAUCAGGAUUGAGACCAGCAGCAUUUUUGGUGUAUAUUCUGGGUAAUAUAGUAGUUUAGAUAUAGGCUGUGUUUAAAGAUGAUGAAACUUGCCUCGGACGCAAACCCAACCACUUUUAAAGUUAUCUCCCUUUAAAUCUAUUGAAACUUUUUUCCUACUCUUUUCUUGUAGUAUGUUUGCACAAUAUCUGGGAGAAGAACUUCUUAUUCCUCCUCUCUUCCUCUCUGUCCCUCUGUUCUCUUAUUAAUGCCUCCCUCCAUGCAGCCCCCUGCCCCCACACACUUUUUGGGAAGCAGAUGUGAUGAGAAGUGCUGAAGCAACAUGAGAUACGAUGUUCUUGAAGAAUCUCUGAUCUGCUGAGCAACGUCCUGAGAGAUUUACAGCUCCAAAGGAUUUACCAUAAAUAAAUAAAACCUUUCAACACCUUAGAGCUCCUGGGAAACAAAAUCCCAAACAUUCUGAGUUUCGCUUAUCACUUCUUAUUGCCAGCAUUACCGGCGAGUUUGCUGUCUGUUCGGUCCCGUUGUGCUGUCCACCUGCCUCUUGCAUUCUGUCUCAAGCAGCCACAGCAAUAUCCUGUCUCUUCUGCUACUUGUCCAUCCAAUAUAGCAGUGCAUGGGCUCACUGUGAAUCCUAAGUCAUGUGAUGCAUCUGGGUAUGCCGGCUUUACUGGAAGAUUCAUGGACAGUUACCGUAGUGGUAUGAUGUUUCCAGACAAACACAUAUAUUGCAGAGCAUUUCCUAAGAAAACUAAUGACUGCUUACCUGGAGCUAGACUGAGCUCUUGGGCAGGCACGUAACUGCAUUGCCCAGGAAGUACGCGGGGAAGGAAUUGUACCUGAGAGCGGCACAGCUUGUCUUGCCUCCCUUCUCCUUUGUGAAACAGAGAGAAAAUGCCAUUAUAAAGUGAGCUUCUCUGCUCUUUCAGCUUUCUGAAGCUACCAUUUUUUUCUGGAGCAGAGUCCUUUUUGUUACACUGAGUUUCAAAAGAGCUGGUCUUGCUUAUGCCUGAAUAUGGGUCAUUUUGUAUCUGACCGAGACCAUUUGGUACAGAGGUAGGUUAAUUUUAAGAUUUGGUACUUGUUUAGAAAAAGCUUUACAGGAUAUGGCUGCAUCCUAUGUUCCUUAUUCACUAGACUGCUCUUUUUCAUUCACCUUUGAAAUGCCUAUAAUAUGGUCCAUGUGUGUAGACUAUGUUUUAUGGAUCAAGUGAAUUGGCAAAUUAAGCUGCCUGGCUAUGGAAUUCAGUUUCUUGAAGUGCAGCACUGAGUCUUUUGUUCCAGUGCAGAAAGGGGAAAUUUAUAACAGACGUCAAUAGAUUUGAGAUAUUGCAGGACAGUUACUUUUUAUCAGUGGUGCCUUAAUAAUGAAGAAUUUAAAAAAGAGCACAGUUGCGGAACUUCACAAUCACCGUCUGGACACAGACUGGCCUAACAUUUGGUUAAUGGUUUUGUUGGUUUUUUUUAGGGACAUGGCCAGACAAUGAAAAAUGAACUUCAUGAACUUCAUGAACAACUGUAAGAAGUUGAGGGUCUGAAGUUGUUUUGUACAAAAGCUUUCGAAGGCCCCAGUCUGUGAUUUUUUUAAGUUAAUAAAUAUUACUAUUUAUUCUAAUUUUGAUCAAGAAUGAGAUUUUCAAAUGGUGCAAAUUGGUUAUAAACAAUUUUCAUCUCAGCUGUCUGUACACCAAUAUAAAAAAAAAUUACUUAUUUCAUUAGAGCAAUUUUGAUUUUAAAAGUUCAGUUAAAACACUGCAAUAUUCUAAGCAAUGAAACAUAGGUAGGAUUGUUUUCAGCUAAAUUCUGUGCUAAAAAAUAACUAAAAUGCCAGUGACUAAUUAUACACCACCUUUGUCUAUGAGCUAGUUAGCAGAAGUAUGACUGGGGAGCCUGCAGACAACUUUCUGUAGGAGGGGUAUUCAAAUCAGAGAAUGUGGAAAUUUCUCUGUCUCUUUUUUCCAUCUGUUACUUCCCUUAGUGACAAUUUAGCAACCUUUUCCUGAGUGAAAAGCAAUAUACGCGUGAUCAUCAUGAUUAGUAGCAGAAUUGUAGAGUCUUUGAUCUCUAAGAGUUGAAGAGAAGCCCAUUGUGCUAAACACUAUACAAACGCAGCACCUGUGUAAAUGUAGCUCUAAAAGGAGCAUCCUAACUUGCUCCAAGCAAGUGAAGCUAAGGACACUGGCAAUGAUAAAAUGGCUAUGCCAUCAUCAGCUAAUCUCUCCUUUUCUGACAGAGUAAAGUGAACAUGGCUGUCGCCAUGAGAAGACCCAUCGUGACCUGCAGCUCUGCAGAGGUGGGACUCAGCUGUCCAGUUUUACAGUGCCUGAGGGGCUACACUGGACCUCACCCAGGUCGUUGGUUGCAGUUGCACAGGUCUUCAAGUCAUCAGCAAAAAUAUUUUCUUUCCUCACAAUACUAAGUUGUUUCUUGACUGUCUGGCCGCUUUCCCUGAACAAUUGCAAUGAGUUUGUAAAAGAAGAAGAUGGCAAUACGAAAAUUACUUGGAGAGAUUGUUCUAGUAAUAGCUUGUAAUAUAUUUUAAUGAUUCUUUUCAUUUACUGAAUAACAUUUCAGGUAGAAUCUCAUUCCAGACACACACAGUUCUGCUAUUAAUGCCACAGCUGUGUUACAGCAACUUCUCAUAACAAGAUAUUAUUUUAUGAGAGUAGCUUCAUAAGAGAAGUUUCUUUUUCAUUUUCAGUUUGUUGAAUUAUAGCUGUUUCUGGAUCUGAUGGCUGAGAGAUGGGAGCCUUUUAUUUGGCUACAGUUUUAGAUAACUACAUUAUUUAUGAAAGUAAUCAUUUCUCCUUAUAAUGUAUCAGGAAAUAAUCUGCAUAAUCCCCAGCUUCUUGCAGAAAUCAAAACAUGAUUCAUUUCCUUUUCACAGGUUUUGAUGGUGUAAGAACAUAGGAAAGCAGCAUCUUCAAAACACAGCCUCUGAGGCUAGAGACAAACUUGACCUCUUCUCAAAUGCUUCUCCUUUGCUUGGAGAGGCUGAUCCACAGGGACCGAUGCCAAAGGAAGGUGCUCAGGGCCCAGGGCAAUUUUUCAAGGUGGAAUAGCUACACAGAAGGAGGAUCUUUUUAUAAGUAAAAAUAUGUGCCUGAUUCUCCUGUCACUGCUCAACAACAUGUGAUUAUGUAUACUAUUUAAAGCUGCGUUAAAUGCAUAAAUGUGUGUAGUCUGUGACACUCAGCUCAACAGAUAUUAAAAGUUCCCAGCCUGUGGUAAUCAUUUAACUUGCUCUUUAAGACAUUUGCAACUGCUUCACAUUUUCUAUGCCUUUUUAGUGUGUGAGAUGAAAGCCGGAUUGUGGUGAUGGCUCAGGGAGCUACCCCUUCCCUUCCCUUCCCUUCCCUUCCUGCUUUUUUUUUGAAGAAAGAAGGACUGGUUAUUUUUAUUAUUAUUUUAUACCAACACCAAGUUGAAAACAUUUGUAGUUAUUUAAGUGCUUAAGGAGGAUCUACUUCUUACCUCGGGGUAAGACAGUAAAUUCUUCCAUGUGUUGACUGCAUCAGUUAUCCCUACAUGCUUUUUACACGCCUAAGGGGUAUUUAGUCAGACGGACUCUCUCUGUUCUAGAGAAAUCUCCAGCAAAGGUCAGCCAAACCAGCAGCACAUACUCAAGAACAAUGUGACGGGUGUGUAUGUGUGAACGGGAGGUCAGUGACAUGGUGCUGAGGAAAGAAGGGUUCUACAGACUGAGGAGCCUUCAGGGUUGCAUCUGCAUUUCCUCUCCUGAGAUUCAUCUUCUCCUCCAUGAGCCAGACAUAAAAUUCAGCUGGCAGGUGGACAUGAAGAGUCCCCUACCUAACUGCAUCUGAUAUGUAUAGUCACGGGGUGGGGGGCAGGCUGCAGAGGUGGACAUAAAGGCCUAUUUUUAUGGGGAGGAGGGAAUUUGACAUGGGAAAAAAUUGUGCAAGUCAUACAAGUCACAUUGAGCAAAUGAGAUCUGCCUCUCCCUAUGGCCUCUGAAUGCUAGGAAAGCUCUCACUAACCACAAAGCUCAAUAUUCAAAUGGCAGUCCUUCCCCUACAACUAAUUCACCUUAACAGGGUUAUAUAUAUGUGAAUAGCCUCACUGGGAUCAAAGGAGUCAUUUACCUGCAUGCAGUGUCGUGCAUACCCAUUUGCAGGAUCAGGCCCUCCAGGCACACAGCAGGUUUCAUUGCUCUGCAUGUUGCUAAGUCACAAUCUGAUGUGAAUUAAGGAAAAUGAAGAGAAGCAUAUGGUUACAUGGCAAGAGUGCUGCAGAAUGGUUUAAAGUGUUAAAGGCUUAAAUCACACCAAGGCUAUAAAAAACAACUUUGUUUAUGGAGCUGUACAGAGACCUAUUGUACUUAGUAUCGAUCAAUCCAUUGAACACCUGAUUCAAAAUGUUCAAUUGAAAGCUGGGGAAAAGUGCUAAAUUGAACAAUCUAAAUAACCUGUGAACCUGACAGUCAUAAAUCAAUGGCACACAUAGUUAACCCUAACCAGUUAGCAAGUUGUCCCAAUUAUUAGCUAGGUUACCUGGUUAGGAGUUAGUUUACACACCCUUUCAGAAUUAUAUUAAUACAGAAAACCUCCUUGUGCUGAAUGUUUCUUGGUGAACGGAGUACCAGGCUCACUAAAACCUCUCUUCCCUGCUUCUAUGCCAGGUAAACCUUGCUUCAAUAUCAGUAUGGACAUUUGAAAUUAAGAACCAGGCUUACAAAAGGACACACUGUCAGCUUCAGUGAACUUAAAGUGUUGCUACGAAAGACAUAGGAUCCACUUUUCAUAGGUGCUUUAUUCUUCAUGGAGGAUUAUUCACAUCUGUACGGGCUCUGCCAAACACUGAAUCUUUCUGAUGCCAGUGUGGGUUUGUUACUUUUGUCACAGGCUCUUUGCAGGCUUGGAAGGACCAUGGUAUGCUGGCCCAUCUUGUCGUAUACAUGCCUAUCACAUUUGCCUUUCUUUACUUCCUAAGGACAGUGAAAACACUGAGGUUUUUCAGGAAGGCUCACAAGAACUUCUUGUUUCCGUUAAACCAUUUUGCUUAGCGUUAGUGGUAUUACGCACCUCUAGUUCUUUGCUAAAUUAGUCCUCCAUUAGCUUUUACAUUAUUUUAUCCUUCCAGCUCAGGCUGAAAGGGCUGUAAUUGUCUGGGUUACACAUAUAACAUUAAAAAAAAAUUGGUGUGAUGUUGGCUUUUUCUUUGCUGUCCGUUGGAACUUCUCCAGUGUUCUUAGACUUACCGAAAAGGAAUAUUCAUAGUUUUGACAUUUCUUCAGCCAGCUUUUUUAAAGCUCUUGGUUGCAAAUUAUGCAGGCCUGCUGAUUUAAUUUGUUAUUUAACAUUCUCCUGAUUUACUGCUGGAAUGAACAACAUUGCAUUGUCUUCUUAUGACAGAACUGAUUUUUUUCUGAUUUUUCUUCAAACAGAGAUCGGAUUUAUUUACAGAACAUACAGAUUUUUGCAUAUAUAAUUGACAUGGCUACACUUCUGUGUAGUCAAGACCAAAAAUCUUUCUUGUUAUCCUUAACUCUGAUGAAAAAGCUUACUUUUUGCUUCCAUCCUUAUCAAUUUUCUGUAGUUCUUAUCUUCUGUCUAAUACUCAUGACUUCUAAUAAAUGCCUUUUUUUGCACAAUUAUUUUGAUUUACAUAGCUGUUUUCACUUCCAUGCAAGUCAACAUUUAGGCUAGCCCAGCUUUCAUUCUUUUUUUUUUUUAAACCUCUGGUAAAGUGUUUUUAAACACUUUCCAGUUAUUAUCCACAUUUCCUGUCUAAUUUCUUUCUCCCAACUGCUUUAGCUCAUAAUUGUUUUCAGCUUUGCAAAAUUGGCUCUUCCAAUCCGUCAAAUAUACAUAUUACUGGUCUGGACUUAAUUCUGAUUAUAUAUAACAAACAGAAGCAAAUCAUGAUCACUUUUAUCUAAGCUACUGCUGAUUUCUUUAGUGUAGUUCUAUGAUAUUUUAUUUUCAUCUGUAAGGAUAAAAUAAUGCAAUACAGCAUUCCAAAAGUGUUGGACACAGCACUUUUUAAGGAGUUCAUCAUUUAUGGCAUAUUCAAAGGAUAUAUUAAUUUGGUGGCAUGAAAACUCCAAACCAUGCUGUUCAGAUUGAAGUGCUGACAUUGCAUGGUUUAUUUUUCUUCUUGUUUUAUGGAUGCUUACUUAAGGAGAUAGUUUUCCUAUUCUUUUGGUAAUUACUUGCAGAAGGCAGUAAUAACAGAAAAAAAAGCAUACCUUUUUGUACCUCUUUUGUAAUACACCAAUCUACAGAUUAAGAAUUACUUAACAUCUUUGAGUCUAUUGCCUAGUUUUGUCAUAUUCCUUUUACCUUAUUUUGAUGACAUAACAGAAUUUAGAAAGGACAGAACUGGCUUCCUACAGAAUCCUUCCCAAGGAAGAGGGAUGGGUUAGAAGUGGAAUAUGUUUAACAGCUCCACCCCAACUGACAUUUUAAGAAGGGCAUAGUGCUUGUCUCAGCUUUUUAUACUUUCUUGAUGCUUUCCUCAAUAGAUUGCCAGAUGGUAAAGUGGAUUAGAGAGUCAGGCUUCAGUACAACAUGUAGCCUAGAAACCAGGAAACUGGCUCUUGAGUGGGAAACACUGCUAAUUUCAGUGGAUCUAUGAUCUGGCUCUGUAUUGUAAUUGUUAAUGGACAAAGUUAGAAAUGACAGCCAACUUUGUGCCCUGAGCUAGGGAAGAUGAUCUCAUUUUGAGUACGUUAUUCUUCAUGUUUGUUUCCUGCUAAGAAUUUUUUAGAGCACUUUGCAGCUACCUUAUUUAUGAUUCUGUUCAUCUUUGGUUUGUUGAUGUUAAACACUUAGGAUACACUUGUGUAUUUUUUAAUUUGAAACCCUAUUAUUUUUUUGUGAAGUUAUGAUUCCAUUUUCCCAAUUAGAUCAAUGUUCAACAGAAUUAGUCAAUUUACAUUGUCAAAAAUGUAUUGCAUUUCUCAUCGAAACACUCCACUUUUCAUAAAAUGACCUUUUUGCUUUAGGACUAUCACUAUAAUUAAUAACAAUAAAAUAAUAUUUUUCUGUGGCCUCUAAAUGCUCAAGCAAAUGCAUCUAUUGGAAAAUAGAGAUUUUUGAAAUUACUUUUUGGAUGAAAAAUGUAGACUCACUAGUGCCAAAUGUUUCAUGAAUACAUGUCAGUCUUUGCCACAUUUUAUUUUUGUUGCUGUCAAAAAGCUGAAUAUAAACUGUUCUGAUCCUUCCCAAAUAACAGGUUUCUAUUUAUCUGUUUGAAGCAAGCUCUUCUCCCUGAAUUUUUUUUGUAUUACCUCUUCUAUCAGAAGACUAGUGUGCUUAACAAUGCAAACUUGAUUAACUAAUGAGAUGGUGACGUGUCACUCGCUUCCUUUCACAAACAUCUAGCCAAAUGAGGACUGGUCAUGCUUCUCACAGUCCCAAUGUUGUUGUGUCAGAGAGGCAUGGAGUGAUGGACCAGUGAUAGAUGGAGAGAUUAGACAAAGAGGGUCAGAGCAGUGAGACAGCCACACGUCACUUCUAGGCAAUUGGGCCUGAAAAGCUUUGAUGACCCUUGCUGUACCCAGUGGUGCUGUGCUCCAAAGGGAGGAUGAGAAUUUAACACACAGUGCCUUCCUGAUAUCAGAGGACUUCAAUAGGUUUUAAAAGCUAAGGUGAUAUCACUAUCAAGUGCUUCACUCUGAGGGGCUGCCCUCUGGGCUUAAAGAGGUUUGUAGGAAGUCCUGUGCUGUAGCUGCUUGAGCAAGUAACUAUAUUUGUUCAUUGCAGUAUGGUGGUGUUUAAAUCGUGGUUUUACAUGUAGGACUUCCUCCGAUGAUGCAAAAAAACACGUUAAGUAGAGAUGACAGAGACUGCCAGUGGAUCAGGAAAGUUCAUGAUAUCAGUCUUUCUGUGGGACAGCUCGCUGAACACAGCCCUCUCCAGCUUUCACAUUCUUGUGGGAAAGAAAAACCUAUCAUUCAAAUUUUAGCAGAGCAGCCAAAAUGAAUUUCUGAGGAUUAUUUCCAGUUCAAAAUUUGCAUGAUCCUUCUCCUGUGAAUGUUCACCUAUCCCCCUGUACCAGUGCAACCUGUGGAAGGCAGGUGGGUUACAGAAAUGAAGCUCUGGAUUAAAGGUGGAUCACACUGGGAAUAAUGACAGUGUGUACUGGGAGGAGGCCACAAGCUCACUCCUCCUGCACUCAUCCAUCCCUCUGUAAGAGAUGGAACAUGUUCAUCAUCAGAAAAUAGGCUAAUGCAGCGUAGGGAAAGUUUAACUGGGUGUAUUGGGUCUGGCUGAGAUGGAGUUAAUUCUCCGCAUAGCAGCCCUCACAGUGCUGUGCUCUGUAUUGGUAGCUGGAAAGGUGUUG